rnacentral:pre_miRNA from 1 species
UUUAAGUACAGUAAAACAUCCUCAUGUUUAACAUUUAAUUGUUCGUCUUAUUUAAAUUUUUUUAUGAUAAGUAUUUUUGUUGUUAUUAGAUGAUAAGACAUAGAUAAUACGUUAUGCGUGACUUAUUUUUUAAUGUUUUAUAAUUUUUUAAAUAAGAUGGAUGACCAGAUGUUAGAUAUACAAACCUAUAACUGUACAUAAA